CCCCUAGACGUUCUGGGCUGCACGCGCGCUACAAUAAUACGCACAGCGAGUAUCACCGAGCUCGAAAGGGCAAGGUAAACAAUAGAAAAGGUACUGUAAUGGUUAUAGAUCCUUGUAAUUAUUGAUCUUCAACGAGGAAUUCCUAGUAAGUAUGUGUCAUCAUCACGCACUGAUUACGUCCCUGCCCUUUGUACACACCGCCCGUCGCUCCUACCGAUUGGGUGAGUCGAUGAAACUCUCGGAUGUAGGCUAUUCAUAGCCCGCAGAAGAGAUUUGAAUCGUAGCGCUUAGAGGAAGGAGAAGUCGUAACA
rnacentral:rRNA from 1 species